UCCUCUCCGCCUUCAUUCCCGCUUCUGCCUCUGGUGGUCUUAUUUUCUCCCAACUCUAUCGGUUCCCUGUGUCGUUUCUUCGUCUUCAAACAAGGUGCGGAGUUCUUGGGCUUUAUUCCACUUUGGCAAUUAAACUUGCAAAGAAAUUGUCGAGAAGAGAAACAAGGAUGGCCGUCGUGGAGAAGUUGAUAGAGUUAUACCUAAUCCGCGGUGCGACGACCUCUGUCUGUGGGUGUGGUGGUAGGGACACUUUUUUCGCGACAACGGUGUUUCAGCGUCUUCACGGUGAGUUUCCGGUGACUCAGGCGCGGCGUUUGCACGACGCGAGGAUCUCGUUCUCCAGCGUUUUAGCAACAGUAGAAACUUGGAUGGAAUUCGCGAUUGAUUUAGGGUUUGAAUUCGGGUUCUGUUUUUAGAGAUUUGAAUGGGGUUUUCUUUCGGUGUCUCAUGAUUUUGGGUAUGGCCGUGGAGGAGAAGAAAUUUCAGGUACAUAUUGCAGUCAAGAUGUUGCUACCAAAGUUCUGAAUAUGGAUCUGGAUAACUGAUUUUCCUUUGUUUGAGUGGAAUGAUCCAGAGUAUAGGGUCGAGAUUGAACCACAACUUUUAUAUGGAAAGAAUGUUAUGAUUUCAGCCCAUGGGAAUUCAUAGAGAUCCAUUAUCAUGUACCUUGAUAAAUUAACUUCCCAAGAGGUCAUUAGUUUGGAAUUGUCAACUGGAAUUCCCAUGCUUUACAUUUUCAAAGAAGGAAGAUUCAUUACGAGGGAAGUCUCAUAAGGCCUUCUGAAGCUGGAGUUUAUGCCUAUACAAAGUUUCCAUCAACCUUGUUUUCCUUCAUUCUCCAGUUGUUUUUUAGUGGUGGUUUGGUAUCAUUCUGAGAGCAGGCAGCACUUCAACCCCAAGUUUGAAAAAUGUUUAUUACUGGUUUUUUCUUCUUGUUAUAUUAAUAUAUGUUUUGGUUUUUUCUUCUUGAUAUACACGCUUCUCUUUCUUUUUCGAUUUUGUUUCCUCUGCUCUAUCCUUUUCUAUCUUCUAUUUGUUUCUAUUCCAGUCGCUUGUGUUAAUUAUCUGACAAAUUUGAUUUGUCCAAAUGUUUUGAAAGGAACAAUAUGAAACAACAUUGCAGAUUUGAUGUUAGUGUUCCCCUUUCCCCCAACAUAUCUCAUUUUCUUAAAUUUUCUCCUGGAAAGUCUCAUCAAGAAGGUAAACAUGAUGUUUAAACUGUCAUAUAAACGUGGUUACAAACUCAAAAAGUGAUAAAUUUGAUUUGACCAAAUGUUGCUGCCAAACAAAGUCUUUUGUUUCUGUAUACACGUUAUGAAUUUUCCUUGUGCAUGUCAUGAACUUGUAGGAAUUGUUUAGAAAAGAGACAAACAUACUCUGCCAACGUUAAUGUUCCUGUUUUUUAUAUUUCAAUGAUAAGUCUCAACUUGAAAGAGUACAAAACCUUGGCAAUCAUGAAUCACCCAUGUGCUCUAUAGAUUUAAACGUGAGUUAUAUAGCCCUUCCCAUUGUAUUUUGGCUUAAAUUGAUAAAAAAAAUGCUCAUAUUUAUGUUUGUGUUAACCAAUUGGACAUGAUUUUACAUCAGUGGCAGUGCUUCAAACUCUAGCAUUAUAUUUUAAUACUUUUUCUAAUCGUUUUCUUAGAUUCCUCAUUUAAUAUAACUACACAGCAAUCAGGCAGGAUAGCACUUCGAUUCUAGACUUUUUAGAAUGCUCAAUAUUUCCUCAAAAAAUUACUUUUUAGUCUAGUAUUUAUAGGAAUAAAAUUAAUACGUUUCUUAAAAGUUUCUAAAAAGAAGACUGAGUUUUAUUUUUAGUAAUGAAAAGACAGAGCUAGGUAUCGGUAAGAAAAAAUGUAUUGGAUAAAGAAACGUGAAAGAAAAGAGUAAGGGCAACACUUACAAUAAUCUUAUAUUUUUCUACAAAUUUCUUCACUAACAAAUAACAAUAAAUAUUUCCCAUUUUAGAAAUAUCAACCUUAUUUAUUUAGGAGGUGCAUAUUACUUAUUAUUAUGUAGAUACGUAUGAGGAGGUGUAACAUAUACUAUAUAAUAUAUAAAAGAAAGGGUUAUCCUUUGUAACAUGGAUCUCAACCUUCAUUUUGACUACUGAAUAAUGAACGGGACUGCCAACAGACAUUCAAUCCCAUUCAGAAAUUAAAAUACGUUUAUGUCUACCUAGGUCUGUUAGUGGAGUUUAAUCGACAAGUUAAAAAUACAGUCUUCACUAUUUUAUCAUUAAAAAAAUCAUGUGAUUCAAGUGUUUUAUCAUGUGAUUCAAUAUAAUUUCGGUUCAUCCAGCUCCCUUAUUUUCUAGACAUAUUCUCCUAUACCUGCACACAGUUUCUUGGCAUCGAGUCUAUGUGGGAUGUCCAGGUAAUUGUCACUUCUAUUAUAACUGUCACUUAUAUUAUAAAUACCAAUCCUGCCUACAUGAUAAUGUUAAUGUUUAAAUUUGCCUUGUGCUAUUGCCUAGUCAAAUCUCAAACCUAACUGGACCAUACUUAAGCUGUGGCCAAAUGGAAAAUAUUGAAGUUAAUUUAGAAAUUAACUCCCUGUUCUCUUUGAGCUAUUGCUAUUAUGAAGUUUAUUGGUUUUUAGGUAGGGUAGGCAGAAGAGAGGAGAUAGGCUAGUGAAUAAUAUGAAUUGGUAUACCAAAUUAAAGCAAUAUCUUUUAUUAGUUCUGAUACUAGAUUUACAAUUCUAAUUGAAUAAGAAAAUUUCUGGCUAGGAGUUAUAAUGGAAAAAGAACUUUAACUUCUAUAACAUAUAGUGUAAAAACUUAGGAGACCUUAAAAAUUUGGAAAGAUGACCAACAAAUUGUAUUUGGGGCUGGUGUGAAUCAUGACCAAAUCCAAUCUCCUGAAGAAUGGCAGGAAGAGCGUCAUCAUCAAUCUAUCAAUCAGUACAAAGUCACUACUGAAAUGAUCAUUAGCUGAAAAAGAAGUUUGGGUAGUUUGAAUAUGAUCACAGGGAAAAGUAAUGAUAAUUUUCUUUUAUAUUAUAAUUAGAAUAUUACGUAUUCUCCAUUCAUGUUAACAUAUCUUGCAUUGUGCAAAAGAAUAACUUUGUUUCUUUAUUAAAUCAAUUUAUAUUAUUUUGCUUAUUAUAUAAUUGUAAAAAUAUAUACUUAACUACGCUUUAACUAGUUAUUUCUUUCUUGUAAAAAUAUAUAAUUGUAAAAAUCAAUUCUUUCUUGCUUAUUUUCCUUCAUGUACUUUGGGAUAUAGGCUGCAGAGCUACUCAAGAACUAAUAUCUUCAACCUUAUGUUCUUAAGGUCCAUCUCAAAAUCAAUUGCCCAAGGCGAAGUUCUUUGCCAGGUCUUUGGCAAGAAUCUAACUACAUGAAGAAAGCUAGAUUUUUGAAGUGAGAAGAUGAUCGUGUUUCUGUUUCUGGGUAUAAGUGGCAUUCUAUUAGCAAUGAUAGGACUUUAAAUCCCAAAUGUAUCAGGA